rnacentral:rRNA from 1 species
ACGAACGCUGGCGGCGUGCCUAAUACAUGCAAGUCGAACGGUCUUUCUAUGGAAGCUUGCUUCCACUGAGAAGAUAGUGGCGAACGGGUGAGUAACACGUGGGUAACCUGCCCAUAAGAGGGGGGAGUAACAUCCGGAAACGGGUGCUAAUACCGCAUAGUUUUCUUGAUCGCAUGAUCGGGAAAGGAAAGACGGCCUUUGUGCUGUCGCUUAUGGAUGGACCCGCGGCGUAUUAGUUAGUUGGUGAGGUAACGGCUCACCAAGACGAUGAUACGUAGCCGACCUGAGAGGGUGAUCGGCCACAUUGGGACUGAGACACGGCCCAAACUCCUACGGGAGGCAGCAGUAGGGAAUCUUCCGCAAUGGACGAAAGUCUGACGGAGCAACGCCGCGUGAGUGAAGAAAGGUUUUCGGAUCGUAAAACUCUGUUGUCAGAGAAGAACAAGUUGGAGAGUAACUGCUCCAGCCUUGACGGUAUCUGACCAGAAAGCCACGGCUAACUACGUGCCAGCAGCGGC